UAAGUGGUGAGACAUCCGCACUGUGAGAACC
rnacentral:piRNA from 1 species